UUAAAAACAGUACAUUUCAAAUUGUAGGUAAAUCUCUAAGUGGAUGUUUUGGUGUUACUGACACUGUAACUGAUUUAAGUUGGUUUUCAUCAAAAUAAUGACACUUGUCUCAAUGUUUUGGUAUAUAGUCUCCUGUAACAUCUAAAAGAAGGUAGAAGUUGCAACAGAUUGUGUCCACAUUGUGAUGGGUCUGUAGUGCCAUUUCCAAACUCUGAAGAUAUAGGUCCUGUGAUUCUCUCUGCAGUCCUGACUGUUCUUUGUAAUCUUGUUUAGUUCACUUUUGUGGCUGAUUCACACUGGUGAUGUCGGAACAGAGAACACAUUAUUGCAGUGUAGAACUGGAUGAGCAGCCCUUGUCCCAUUAGUAAUAGAAGAUGUUGUGUUUUAUCUUUAGCAAGUGCACUAAUAAAGCUUUGAAGAACAUUUUCUAAGUGUAGUCUUUGCUGAUGACAAGAUUGCUUUCACUGUGUUGAAUAUUUAUUUACUAAAAUAACUUCUUUUUUUUUUUUCCCCCACAGACAAAUCAGGGAUGAAAAAGAAUUCUACUACUGAAGUUGGACAAAACAAAUAUCCACAGUCAGACAAAGGAAUGUCAGAUGAAGAGAUGCCACCGAACAUUGAGGUCUGUGUUGAGUCGCACAAAAUAACAGGGGCAUCACAAACCACAAGAAGGAAGUGGACUGAAGCAGAAAUAAAGGCUGUGGAGAAGACUCUAAUGGAGUACAUCAGCUCUGGAAAGGUUCCUGGGAAGGCAGAGUGUCUCAAAUGUAUUGAGACUUCACCAUUAGCAUUGAAAGAGAGAGUUGGGAGGGAGUUAAGUUAUGUGAAAAA